UGAGUAACCUGCCCUCCACUCUGGGAUAAGCCCGGGAAACUGGGUCUAAUACCGGAUAUGACCUCCUGUCUCAUGGCGGGUGGUGGAAAGUUUUUUCGGUGGGGGAUGGACUCGCGGCCUAUUAGCUUGUUGGUGAGGUAAUGGCUUACCAAGGCGACGACGGGUAGCCGGCCUGAGAGGGCGACCGGCCACACUGGGACUGAGACACGGCCCAGACUCCUACGGGAGCAG
rnacentral:rRNA from 1 species